GACGAGGGGUCCAAGCGUUGUUCGGAAUCAUUGGGCGUAAAGCGGGUGUAGGUGGCUUUGUAAGUCAGGAGUGAAAUCCCCGAGCUUAACUUGGGAAGUGCUUUUGAAACUGCAGAGCUUGAGUGUGGGAGAGGAUCGUGGAAUUCCAGGUGUAGUGGUGAAAUACGUAGAUAUCUGGAGGAACACCGGUGGCGAAGGCGGCGAUCUGGCCCAACACUGACACUGAGACCCGAAAGCGUGGGGAUCAAACAGG
rnacentral:rRNA from 1 species